rnacentral:rRNA from 1 species
UGAGGAAUAUUGGUCAAUGGCCGGAAGGCUGAACCAGCCAAGCCGCGUGAAGGAUGACUGCCCUAUGGGUUGUAAACUUCUUUUAUACGGGAAUAAAGUGGUCCACGUGUGGAUUUUUGUAUGUACCGUAUGAAUAAGGAUCGGCUAACUCCGUGCC